GGUCAAAAUCAAAAGUAGCCAUCAGUGACUGGAGUGGCCACCAGCUGCAUUAAGUACUGCAGUGCAUCUCCUCCUCAUGUACUGCACCAGACUAGCCAGUUCUUGCAGUUUGUGAAUGUUACCCCACUCUUCU